GCCAGCCGGUUGGGUUUUCCAACGAAACGCACCUACCAGCGGUAUAAAAGUCUGUCACUGAAGCACAAUUUCAUUCCCAGUAACUUUUGGGCAUCAACAGAGUGCAUCAAAAUGAACUCAGCGGCAUUUUUCCUGGUGCUGGCACUAGCUGUCAUCGCUUCUUGCAUCGCUUAUCCCGCAAGUGAACACAGCGAGAAAGACGCAGAACCGAACUCACUCAAGCAAGAGGGACGUGCCUUAGAAACACUGGGAAAGAUUUUGCAAGGAAAAGAUACCAUGACUGAAGGCCAUGCAGCCCUGGCGGAACUCGCGAGUCAACUAGGGGCCUUCCAUGGCACGGACACCCAACUGGAUGAGAACGCCUCUGAGUACUUUUUCAAGAAGCUCCGGAGGAUAGUCGAGAAUGUCGCUAAGGUAGUUGUGAUAAACAAAGCUGUUGGUGCCGUCGCUGGAAUGAUUGGAUAAAUCUGAUUCCUAAUGUGAAUUAGCAUCUUCGCUGUAUAAAAUAAAUGUGUUAGAAUAUGACCGACGA